rnacentral:rRNA from 1 species
GACGAACGCUGGCGGCGUGCUUAACACAUGCAAGUCGAACGGAAAGGCCCUGCUUUUGUGGGGUGCUCGAGUGGCGAACGGGUGAGUAACACGUGAGUAACCUGCCCUUGACUUUGGGAUAACUUCAGGAAACUGGGGCUAAUACCGGAUAGGAGCUCCUGCUGCAUGGUGGGGGUUGGAAAGUUUCGGCGGUUGGGGAUGGACUCGCGGCUUAUCAGCUUGUUGGUGGGGUAGUGGCUUACCAAGGCUUUGACGGGUAGCCGGCCUGAGAGGGUGACCGGCCACAUUGGGACUGAGAUACGGCCCAGACUUCUACGGGAGGCAGCAGUGGGGAAUAUUGCACAAUGGGCGGAAGCCUGAUGCAGCAACGCCGCGUGCGGGAUGACGGCCUUCGGGUUGUAAACCGCUUUCGCCUGUGACGAAGCGUGAGUGACGGUAAUGGGUAAAGAAGCACCGGCUAACUACGUGCCAGCAGCCGCGGUGAUACGUAGGGUGCGAGCGUUGUCCGGAUUUAUUGGGCGUAAAGGGCUCGUAGGUGGUUGAUCGCGUCGGAAGUGUAAUCUUGGGGCUUAACCCUGAGCGUGCUUUCGAUACGGGUUGACUUGAGGAAGGUAGGGGAGAAUGGAAUUCCUGGUGGAGCGGUGGAAUGCGCAGAUAUCAGGAGGAACACCAGUGGCGAAGGCGGUUCUCUGGGCCUUUCCUGACGCUGAGGAGCGAAAGCGUGGGGAGCGAACAGGCUUAGAUACCCUGGUAGUCCACGCUGUAAACGGUGGGUACUAGGUGUGGGGUCCAUUCCACGGGUUCCGUGCCGUAGCUAACGCUUUAAGUACCCCGCCUGGGGAGUACGGCCGCAAGGCUAAAACUCAAAGGAAUUGACGGGGCCCCGCACAAGCGGCGGAGCAUGCGGAUUAAUUCGAUGCAACGCGUAGAACCUUACCUGGGUUUGACAUGGAUCGGGAGUGCUCAGAGAUGGGUGUGCCUCUUUUGGGGUCGGUUCACAGGUGGUGCAUGGCUGUCGUCAGCUCGUGUCGUGAGAUGUUGGGUUAAGUCCCGCAACGAGCGCAACCCUUGUUCACUGUUGCCAGCACGUUAUGGUGGGGACUCAGUGGAGACCGCCGGGGUCAACUCGGAGGAAGGUGGGGAUGACGUCAAGUCAUCAUGCCCCUUAUGUCCAGGGCUUCACGCAUGCUACAAUGGCUGGUACAGAGAGUGGCGAGCCUGUGAGGGUGAGCGAAUCUCGGAAAGCCGGUCUCAGUUCGGAUUGGGGUCUGCAACUCGACCUCAUGAAGUCGGAGCCGCUAGUAAUCGCAGAUCAGCAACGCUGCGGUGAAUACGUUCCCGGG